rnacentral:rRNA from 1 species
GACGAACGCUGGCCGCGUGCUUAACACAUGCAAGUCGAACGGUGAAGCGCCUUCCUUUUUGGUGGGUGUGGAUGAGUGGCGAACGGGUGAGUAACACGUGAGUAACCUGCCCCCUUCUUCUGGAUAACCGCAUGAAAGUGUGGCUAAUACGGGAUAUUCUGGGUCUGUCGCAUGAUGGGUCUGGGAAAGAUAUUGUUUCGGUGGGGGAUGGGCUCGCGGCCUAUCAGCUUGUUGGUGGGGUGAUGGCCUACCAAGGCGGUGACGGGUAGCCGGCCUGAGAGGGUGGACGGUCACACUGGGACUGAGACACGGCCCAGACUCCUACGGGAGGCAGCAGUGGGGAAUAUUGCACAAUGGGCGCAAGCCUGAUGCAGCGACGCCGCGUGAGGGAUGGAGGCCUUCGGGUUGUGAACCUCUUUCGCCAGUGAAGCAGGCCUGCCUCGUUUGUGGGUGGGUUGACGGUAGCUGGAUAGGAAGCGCCGGCUAACUACGUG